rnacentral:rRNA from 1 species
UUAGAGUUUGAUCAUGGCUCAGGAUGAACGCUAGCGGCAGGCCUAACACAUGCAAGUCGAGGGGUAACAUAGAGUGCUUGCACUUUGAUGACGACCGGCGCACGGGUGAGUAACGCGUAUACAAUCUGCCUCAUACUAGGGGAUAGCCCAGAGAAAUUUGGAUUAAUACCCUAUAGUAUCAUUUAGAGUCAUCUCUUUAUGAUUAAAGGUUACGGUAUGAGAUGAGUAUGCGUUCUAUUAGUUAGUAGGUGAGGUAACGGCUCACCUAGACCACGAUAGAUAGGGGCCCUGAGAGGGGGAUCCCCCACACUGGUACUGAGACACGGACCAGACUCCUACGGGAGGCAGCAGUGAGGAAUAUUAGACAAUGGGCGAAAGCCUGAUCUAGCCAUGCCGCGUGCAGGAUGACGGCCCUAUGGGUUGUAAACUGCUUUUAUACAGGAAGAAAAAACUCUACGUGUAGAGUCUUGACGGUACUGUAAGAAUAAGGAUCGGCUAACUCCGUGCCAGCAGCCGCGGUAAUACGGAGGAUCCAAGCGUUAUCCGGAAUUAUUGGGUUUAAAGGGUCCGUAGGUGGACAAUUAAGUCAGAGGUGAAAUCCUGCAGCUCAACUGUAGAAUUGCCUUUGAAACUGGUUGUCUUGAGUCAUUAUGAAGUGGUUAGAAUGUGUAGUGUAGCGGUGAAAUGCAUAGAUAUUACACAGAAUACCAAUUGCGAAGGCAGAUCACUAAUAAUGUACUGACACUGAUGGACGAAAGCGUGGGUAGCGAACAGGAUUAGAUACCCUGGUAGUCCACGCCGUAAACGAUGGUCACUAGCUGUUCGGACUUCGGUCUGAGUGGCUAAGCGAAAGUGAUAAGUGACCCACCUGGGGAGUACGUUCGCAAGAAUGAAACUCAAAGGAAUUGACGGGGGCCCGCACAAGCGGUGGAGCAUGUGGUUUAAUUCGAUGAUACGCGAGGAACCUUACCAGGGCUUAAAUGUAGAGUGACAGGUCUAGAGAUAGAUUUUUCUUCGGACACUUUACAAGGUGCUGCAUGGUUGUCGUCAGCUCGUGCCGUGAGGUGUCAGGUUAAGUCCUAUAACGAGCGCAACCCCUGUUGUUAGUUGCCAGCGAGUAAUGUCGGGAACUCUAGCAAGACUGCCAGUGCAAACUGUGAGGAAGGUGGGGAUGACGUCAAAUCAUCACGGCCCUUACGUCCUGGGCUACACACGUGCUACAAUGGUAGGUACAGAGAGCAGCCAAUGCGUGAGCAUGAGCGAAUCUACAAAACCUAUCUCAGUUCGGAUCGGAGUCUGCAACUCGACUCCGUGAAGCUGGAAUCGCUAGUAAUCGGAUAUCAGCCAUGAUCCGGUGAAUACGUUCCCGGGCCUUGUACACACCGCCCGUCAAGCCAUGGAAGUUGGGAGUGCCUGAAGUCCGUCACCGCAAGGAGCGGCCUAGGGUAAAAUCGAUAACUAGGGCUAAGUCGUAACAAGGU